UGAUUCAAGGUUUGUUUGUUUGUUGAGUGAAGGAAAUUCGGGGGCGAAUUUCAAUUUAAGGGGGGGAGAAUGUAAUAUCCCAUAUUCCCUUAAAUGCUCAAUUAGUUGUCAGUUGAGAUCAAUUGAGUACCUGUGUACUAUAUCUUUUGUUAGUUGUAACAAUUAGAGCUCCUUUGUGCUCUAAAUGUUGUCAAUUGGGACCAAUAGAGUAACCAGUGAACUCUGAAGGGAUUAAUUAUUAAUAAAGAGACAAAUCAAUAUUAAUAAGUACAAGAGAGGACAUUUUUGG
rnacentral:lncRNA from 1 species